rnacentral:rRNA from 1 species
UUACCCGCUGAAACUUAGCAUAUCAAUAAGCGGAGGAUAAGAAACUAACAAGGAUUCCCCUAGUAACUGCGAGUGAAGCGGGAAAAGCUCAAAUUUAAAAUCUGGCGGUCUCUGGCCGUCCGAGUUGUAAUCUAGAGAAGUAAUGCCCGUGCUGGACCGUGUAUAAGUCUCCUGGGAUGGGGCGUCAUAGAGGGUGAGAAUCCCGUCUUUGACAUGGACUACCAGUGCAUUGUGGUAUGCUCUCAAAGAGUCGAGUUGUUUGGGAAUGCAGCUCAAAAUGGGUGGUAAAUUCCAUCUAAAGCUAAAUAUUGGCGAGAGACCGAUAGCGAACAAGUACCGUGAGGGAAAGAUGAAAAGAACUUUGGAAAGAGAGUUAAACAGUACGUGAAAUUGCUGAAAGGGAAACGCUUGAAGUCAGUCGCGUUGGCCGGGGAUCAGCCUUGCUUUUGCAUGGUGUACUUUCUGGUUGACGGGUCAGCAUCAAUUUUGACCGCUGGAAAAAGACCUGGGGAAUGUGGCAGCUUCGGCUGUGUUAUAGCCCCUAGUCGCAUACAGUGGUUGGGAUUGAGGAACUCAGCACGCCGCAAGGCCGGGUUUCGACCACGUUCGUGCUUAGGAUGCUGGCAUAAUGGCUUUAAGCGACCCGUCUUGAAACACGGACCAAGGAGUCUAACAUGCCUGCGAGUAUUUGGGUGGAAAACCCAAGUGCGUAAUGAAAGUGAAAGUUGAGAUCCCUGUCGUGGGGAGCAUCGACGCCCGGACCAGAACUUUUGGGACGGAUCCGCGGUGGAGCAUGUAUGUUGGGACCCGAAAGAUGGUGAACUAUGCCUGAAUAGGGUGAAGCCAGAGGAAACUCUGGUGGAGGCUCGUAGCGAUUCUGACGUGCAAAUCGAUCGUCAAAUUUGGGUAUAGGGGCGAAAGACUAAUCGAACCAUCUAGUAGCUGGUUCCUGCCG